GCGGGGCAUGGUGGUGCAUGCCUGUAAUCCCGGCUACUUGGGAGGCUGAGGUAGGAGAAUCGCUUGAACCUGGGAGGCAGCGGUUGCAGUGAGCCGAGAUUGUGCCACUGCACUCCAGCCUAGGUGACAGAGUGAGACUCUAUCUCAA
ensembl:misc_RNA Metazoa_SRP Metazoan signal recognition particle RNA